rnacentral:lncRNA from 1 species
UCUGAUGAGUUAAGCCUUUUUCAACUGAUUUUUAUAGUUCGUUCUUAUGUUGUACUGUUAUACCACUGUCCCAGGUUAGGGGAGGGUUGGAUCCCGCUUACAUGUUUAACCCCGCCACAUUAUUUAUGUAUGUGCCUGUCCCAAGUGAGGAGCCUGUAAUUCAGUGGUUGUCGUUUGUUUAUGUGUUACAUAUUUGUUUUUUCGUUCAUUUUUUUACAUAAAUAAGGUCGUUAGUUUUCUCGUUUGAAUUGUUUUACAUUGUCUUAUCGGGGCCUAUUAUAGCUGACUAUGCGGUAUGGGCUUUGCUCAUUGUUGAAGGCCGUACGGUGACCUAUUGUUGUUAAUGUCUGUGUCAUUUUGGUCUUUUGUUGAUAGUUGUCUCAUUGGCAAUCAUACCACAUCUUCUUUUUUAUAUAAUGAACGUU